UACGUAGGGGGCGAGCGUUGUCCGGAUUUAUUGGGCGUAAAGAGCUCGUAGGCGGUUAUACAGGUCCGCUGUGAAAACUGGAGGCUUAACCUCCAGACGUCGGUGGAAACCGUAUAACUAGAGUCCGGAAGAGGAGAGUGGAAUUCCUGGUGUAGCGGUGAAAUGCGCAGAUAUCAGGAAGAACACCCGUGGCGAAGGCGGCUCUCUGGGACGGUACUGACGCUGAGACGCGAAAGCGUGGGGAGCGAACAGG
rnacentral:rRNA from 1 species